CCUACGGGGGGCAGCAGUGGGGAAUAUUGGACAAUGGGGGGAACCCUGAUCCAGCCAUGCCGCGUGUGUGAAGAAGGCCCUCGGGUUGUAAAGCACUUUCAGUGAGGAAGAACGCCUGGUGGUUAAUACCCAUCAGGAAAGACAUCACUCACAGAAGAAGCACCGGCUAACUCCGUGCCAGCAGCCGCGGUAAUACGGAGGGUGCGAGCGUUAAUCGGAAUUACUGGGCGUAAAGCGCGCGUAGGUGGCUUGAUAAGCCGGUUGUGAAAGCCCCGGGCUCAACCUGGGAACGGCAUCCGGAACUGUCAAGCUAGAGUGCAGGAGAGGAAGGUAGAAUUCCCGGUGUAGCGGUGAAAUGCGUAGAGAUCGGGAGGAAUACCAGUGGCGAAGGCGACCUUCUGGACUGACACUGACACUGAGGUGCGAAAGCGUGGGUAGCAAACAGGAUUAGAUACCCCUGUAGUC
rnacentral:rRNA from 1 species